rnacentral:rRNA from 1 species
AGUGAACGCUGGCGGUAGGCCUAACACAUGCAAGUCGAACGGCAGCACAGUAAGAGCUUGCUCUUACGGGUGGCGAGUGGCGGACGGGUGAGGAAUACAUCGGAAUCUACUUUUUCGUGGGGGAUAACGUAGGGAAACUUACGCUAAUACCGCAUACGACCUACGGGUGAAAGCAGGGGAUCUUCGGACCUUGCGCGAUUGAAUGAGCCGAUGUCGGAUUAGCUAGUUGGCGGGGUAAAGGCCCACCAAGGCGACGAUCCGUAGCUGGUCUGAGAGGAUGAUCAGCCACACUGGAACUGAGACACGGUCCAGACUCCUACGGGAGGCAGCAGUGGGGAAUAUUGGACAGUGGGCGCAAGCCUGAUCCAGCCAUACCGCGUGGGUGAAGAAGGCCUGCGGGUUGUAAAGCCCUUUUGUUGGGAAAGAAAAGCAGCAGGUUAAUACCCCGCUGUUCGGACGGUACCCAAAGAAUAAGCACCGGCUAACUUCGU